GCACGUGAGUUAAAGCUGAGUUGUUCUGGCACUGAACUUGCUGAUGGGCGUGGGGGGUGGGUUUAGAUGGCUUUUGGUGGUUUAAAGGAAGCCAAAAUGGUGUGCUUGGUGUAAUGGCUCCCACAAAGAAAGGCCCAGCAACAUAUUGUCAUUACAUCCCUGCCUGGUGUCACUCAGACCUUUCAUGAAGUGACAAAUCCCACCAGGCUCUCCUCAGAGCGUGUGUGGGCUACAUGUCUUCUGCCUACAGGAAAAUCUCAUUGAAGAAAGAAUGAUUUUCCCUGCAUAUAUACAUAAGCAUGCAAUGAAGCAGCUCUGCCUCCUGGAGUUUGCAGGAAACAACCCACAAGAGUUGCAGCCACAAGAAGCAAAGAAAUAGCUGUCAAAAUAUAGAGGGCAGGACAGUUCCCAGGCCUGGGCACCGGUGAGCUCUCCUGCCGCCUUCCCCUUUCGUGUCAGCUUCCCACCGCAAUGCUGGCUGCCGACUGCUGAAACAGGCCACGAGGUCGUUGUUAUUUUGCCUCCCUGCCUUGUUUCUCUUGCUCUACCAUCUCCUGCCUGGCUACUAAGAAGGUUGUCCUUAGCGUGUUCCUAGCCAGGUUUUCCACUGCUUGUGAGAAGCAGAGCCAGCAGAAGUUCUCCCUCGUGCAGCCCACCCAAAUGACCUAGUUAAAAAUCUUCUUGCUUGUUUGCAAGCCUGCUGGCAAAGAUGUCUGUGGGCACUUGUAUAAGCAGAACCCACCGCUCCCCCUCAAACACGGCCCUGCCAUCCAGGAACCAAAGCUGCCUGCAGCCAGCUUUGGCAGCUGACCCAAGAAACAGCGAAGGAGGAGUUCACAGCACUUCUUUCUCUUACUGCUUGCCCCGUCAGAAGAGAGCCUUGUUCUGCCUACAGAAGCCUUACAAAAAUAUAAUUGUCUCCAACUGGUUAAAUGAAACUUUAAUGCUUCUUUUACAUAGACCCUGUAUGGGUUGGUGUCAUUUCUAGAACAGUGCAGAAAAUAUGUAAGCCAAAUAUCUAUGGGGACUCAGGUCCUUGUCUGCAUGGGGUGGCAUAUUUGGGAAUGAAGCUGGCUUUUGAGAGGCAGGUUCCUUGCUGCAGAAGCACUAACCACACUGGCUUGCCUUUGAUGUGUGCGUUGCACAGUAGGGACAGUUUUGCCUCUGUGUGGAGGAGCAGAAAGAGCAAAGCGUGAAGCUUGUGUAGAGGGGUUCAGCUGGCUUGGGCUGAUUCAGCCUCACCAGCCCCGGUGAGAGAAGUUCAAGUGCUCGGCAGGAGGUGUCCAUCUGGUCUGUAGUUGCAUAUUCUACUUGGAAGAAGCUUUAGCUUCUCAUUGUGAAGAUGUAGCAUACGGCACGGGUACACGAGCUCAGUCCCCAGGGAUGCAGAGUGCCCUUUCUGCCAUCGCAAUGGAGAUGUGACGGGCCUGACACAGGUGAUUAUAAACCUGUGGGAUAAAAAAGCUCUGUGUGUGUGCUGGAGAUGUUGGUGUUUGCUGUAAGCGUGUGGAGAAGGUGUUGCUAAAUCUCUGACCGAGAUCCACAGCAGUGCUGCCAGGGAACAACUGGCUUCUGGACCAGAAUUUGGGUCCGUGGGAGCGGAUCUGGGAAAGCCUCGUGAAGGCUGCAUGGCCAAAAGCGAGUAAUCACAUUUUGUUCUAACUAAGCUCCUGCUGAAUCACAGUCACAAGAAAUUCGUGGAACCAAUUUUUGGUUGUUUUUCAACUGAAGAUCUGAGGUUUCAUAGCAUCUGAUCCAAACAACAGUUACCAAAGGUUGUGUUCUACCUUCUGUAGAUGUCAUUUACUUUGAGCUCCACUGUAAAAAAAAAAUAAAUAAGAAAAAGAUUGCUGUAUGUGACUGUGGGGCAAUAACAGUUGAACACAGGCUUAGGCAAGUGAGUUCAUGUACAAGUGGGAGACAUAAAGUGGACAGUGGACUUCUAUUUUUGAAUAAAUGUAAGUAAAUGAAUCAAUUAAGAAGUUUUUAGUGAGGAUAAAGUAGUAAAAAGAUAGGUCUGCCUUUUCUGGAUACUUUUUCCCCUGGAACCUGAGAAUUUCUGUGCAGGUUUGUUUUUUGGUUGCUUGGCUUUAUUUGUUUUUGUUGCUUGGUGUUUGUUUAAGAUAGUAUUUUGAUAGCAGAUACAAUUUUUGACAGAAGCGAAGAAACCUAAGAUGAUGAUAAGCCUAAAGGCGACUAUCAUUUGGUGGCAACUAGAGCUUGUGUCUACAUCAGAGCUGGCUGAUAAGGAGAGUUGAGGCAGUUGUUUGGGGACAAGAAUUUCUAAGAUGCUCUUAGAAAUUAAAAGAUAAAUCUGUGAGGAUGCUUUGACAUUUCCAGUUUUGAUAACAUACCCAGUUUUAAUUUAAAAAAAAAAAAAAAAAUCAGUACAAAAGAAUAGAUUAAUAGAUGAGAAAGCCACAAGUUAUAUAUUAAAGUGAACAAAUAAAUGGUGAGACAAGUGGUCUGAGAAUAUUUCAGAGACAACACUGUGGUCUCAAAAGAGAAUAUUUUGGGCAACCGCCUUCUGUAUCUCCCUAGAAAAACAGAGUGACCAUAAAGGCAGUGCUCUGUCUGAAAGGGUGCCAGGUAAGAACUUUGUCUGAAUAUAAUCAUAAUUAACUUUUUUUUUUUUAAUUUUGAUGUAUUGAAUCUUGGCAAGCAGCCUUGUGAAGACUCAAAUGCACGACAUCUGUCUGCAGGUACAUGUAUAAGAUUCUGAUGCUGCAUCUCUGUGUUGUGAUAUGGCUUUAAACAAGUGCUUCUGCACUGGGAAAAGCCUAUUUUUAAUGCACUCUUGGAGUUAUUCCAGUCUAGAAGGAAAAUAAUUAUGAUAAAUUUAUGCUGAUGGCAGCUGGAGUAACGCUGCUCUUUAGUACCUCUGGCCAUAUGCUGCUUAUUGCUGGAGUCCUGUGGGUUCUUCUGCACCUUUCUGGGUAAUUGAAGAACCGAGUAUGAAGACUCAUACCCAGAAACUGAUAACCUGAUUCCCGAGAGAUGAUGUAUCCGCAAGCCAGUAAGUACAGUCAGAUUUUGUGAUGCUGCCUUAAAGGCAGGCAGCCCUGUCGUACAGUGCUCUGUAAUAAAUGCUUUCACCGGCACAAAUGGGGGAUAAAAGGCAAUGAUUUCCUCUGAAGCAUUACUAUAUUAAAAUAUCACAAAUGGAAAAGACUCUCAAACCGCAAAUGAAUGAGAAGAUUUACAGGAUCCGAGUUGGCAUAGUUCUAAAUCUUCUGCCUUCCCAAGUAAUCCAUGCAGGAGCGUCAUUUCACACGCUGUUCCCCCCAGCGACGUGCGAGCAACACGACCAAAGCCAGGCAGGGAGGCGAAACCUCAGCGUGGCGUGGUAGCUGUCACCCACGGCGGCACAGGAGGAGGUUUCUGUGCUGCUGGCCGAGCACCUAGGCUGCGCUGCCCCGCAUGACGGUGGCGUUGUACAGUAGGCAGCUGACCUCAGCCCGCAGGCAUCUGCGUGACGUGGGACCACCUGGCGCCGCGCUGCAACCUGAUGCGAUAAUGUGUGACAGCCAGGUGUUCGGUUCUGCUGGUUCAUAUGUCAGCCCCGCCGAACUGGACGAAUAACGACAUGAAAAAUGGUGACGAAUGUGCUGGCAGGAGAGAGGAUCAGCCGUUUGGGAUCAGAACAAGCCUCUCCUGCAGACGUGCCCGUGCUGCAGUGCACAGAAAGCCUUUGCUCUGUGCUCUCGCUUGGGGUGUUUGGGAAGGAGCGUUAUUUCAGACUGCUCCCUAACAUUUGCAGCACUAUCUCCCCCGUGUUACUGUUCAGCUGGCAAGGUAAUCACUUGUCUCUAUUGGUAAAAACUGAUGAGGAACAUACUAAGAAUAAGAACACCAGGCAGUAUCUCUGCAGGAAAAGCCCCAAUGUUCUUCCCUUCAAUCUAUUAGCUAGGUCCUGACUAACCAUCUGUUGGAUUGCGAUGUGUUCAGAUCACUGAUGCAACUGAUUGAGUUAAAUUUACUUUAAAAACACCUUUUAGUCUUGGCAAAGAACAAACCUUUUCCAGAACUUUGAAUUUAAGCAUUUCUAUGGUAGAGGAACUCAAAGUUUUGCAAAUGCCUCUUUGUACCGUGCUGUAUUGGGGAAGAUAAAAUCUCUUCCGAUCAAAUCAUCCAAUUCUUUUAAAUUGCGAUGGUUGUAUUGAAAUAUGUAGAAGCAGACCUUCCUUUGCAUGUGACUGGUUUGCAAUGAGCACAUUACGCUUUGUGAUUUCGGUGUCUUGUUCUGUUUGUGUUGCUGUUGUCUCCCAAGCUGCUUCCUCCAAGUUUUGUGGGAGCUGUCUACCAAGCAAUGCCUCCGUAAUGCUUUCCAGGAUGUUCUUCCCAUGCAGUUGCAUAUCUUUAUGGGCUUUUGUUAGUUUUAUUGCUGAAAUAUGGAACGUUGAUUGCAUUUCCUGACAAAAAUAAGUAUUAUUAUUGUUCUUUGUCGUCUAACCAGGUCUCACAAAGAUCAUAAGACAUAGGUCAGGAGUAACAGGAAAGACAGCGAUGAGCCCGGGCUCAUCCUUCUUUGCCUUUCCACCGCUUGGAUUCAUUCAAGCUGAACCCUUUCAGUGCUCAAAGAGGGAUUGCCUUACUUUUAAGGACUCCAGGCAGUAUGAUAAAUAUAACUGAAAAGCAACAGGUUUGAAAUUAAAUCUGGCCAUUGACUUCUAGUGAAAGGCGUUUCUAUGGGGAUGCAAGAUAAUGCCGUUUGGAUACAUAAUUGGAUUGUGAGAGAGCAGCAAUAGAUAGCUUUUAGGUUAAGGACUGAUGCGUCACAGGUUGACUCAUGGGCACUAAUCUAUUUUAUUGUCUCUGGAAGCUGUACAAAUAUGAAACCAUGCAUAAUGUGAAUUAGGGCCACUUCUGAAGAAAAUCACAUCUUUCCUGCAGCCUCUGAAUGAGCUUCAGCAGUCAAGGCUGGUGAAUGACAGACAAAUUUACAUCCAAAGUGCUGCAAAGCUCAUUGCCAAUCUUCUCACCCUAUCUACAGAGGGGUUCAAGGCUUGUUGUCUACAUUUCUGGAGUACCAAAACAUUAGAAUAUGUUAUAAUAUUUCUUCGUACCUCCAUUUCACCCUGUCCAGCCAUCACAGAGAAUGAUUCAGCUGAAUCUAUCAAUGCAAGCAGUAAUUAUUUGCAGUAGCUUCUAUUUGCGCUUCCCCUCUUCUUUUUUUCCACCAGAUUGCUCCAGCAAUCUAUGUUGGCACCAUCAUUUAUUUGGUGAUUAUUUAGAACAGCCAAGCAUGAACAGAGCUGUACUUCGUGUUAUGCAGAUCCAGAAGCUGGCCUGUAGCCCUAACUUCUUCCUUUGGAUCUUGUCAGGGCUUUUGUAAGCUAAACAGGUGGGAGAAUGGGAGCGUUAGUGCUUCCAGAGCUUGUUAACGUUUUAUUGUAUUGAUUCAAAACCGGCAACACACGCAUUUCGGGGGAGAGUUACGGUCUUACUGUUUGCUGGGGAAGACUGCAUGGAAAAGCAGAUGCAGCGCCCUGAGUGAUUUACUGAGCAGCUCUUCUCCAUGGGGCUUAUUAAAUCAACGUAUAGCUGGGAUGCUGAGAAUUACUGUUGCUGCAAGGGCAAUUCUUGGGAUGAAGCUAAAGUGCCGGAUAACUCGGAUCAUUAAAACAGAUAAUUAAGGUUCAUAGUGACAUUUUUUGCUGAAUUACAUAGGCAUAGUGCUUUUUGAAAUAAAUUUGUUGUGUAGUUUCUAGUUAGUCUUUCUCUACCUCCUCUUCCCUAACUUUUUUUAUUUUUAUUCACAAAAGCUUUAAAUGGAGUUGGGAUCAUUUGGAUAUGAUAUUUGCCUAGUUCUACCCUUAAUAAGCACCCUGCUUUGUUUUGCUGGGUCUUUAACAAAAUGUGACUGCCUGGACUGAACUGUCCAAGCCUAGUUUCAGGCUGAUUUCUUUCUUUUUCCUUUCCUUUUUUUUUCCUUGUUUUUUUUUUUUAAAGACAUUUAGCCAAAAGAGCUCAUUCAUGUCCAAGAAUGAGUCAAUUCGAUAACCUCCCUGAUUUAAAAUUUAAAAAAUAAAAAAUAAAUGACCAACAACCACAGAAAACAAACCUAGAUUCUAUAAAAUUGGGGAAAAAAAAAAAAAAGAUACCUGAAACUAUGACUGUGCUUGGCCUUUAGCUCUCCCUUUGAGGCCUGCUGGCGUUUAGCAAAACCAUACAUCUGUGAAAAAUGUCAUCUGCCCUACACCUGGUGGUGCUGACCUGUGUCAGCUGUUGGACUCCCCGGGGGCCGCACGUGAGCGCUGAGAGCUCUGCCCCCACCGUGGGGCAGGAGCAGGAGGGUGGUGCUGCGGCAGGGCUGGGGUGCAGGAAGCACCCACAGGAGCUGCCCAAACCUCUGGGACCCCAGCCUUGGAAAUACAAGGAGUAAGAACCGAGUGAAUCGUUGUCCUCUCAACUUUGAUUAUCGAUAAACAUGUUAAUGCUGAAUCUUUCAGGAGCUAAAACCAGCAAGUUAAAAGUCGGAUGGGUAGCUGCUUGCACAGGAGGUCAGUGUUAAAGACGUGGCAAGCAUGGACCACUCUGUGAUAAUUCCAAGUUUGGGAAAAUAUGAAAAUUUCCAUGGAACAACAUUUAUCUGAAGCGUUUAUCUGAGGAGCAAUGCAGUUUGGAGUGGAUGCAUAUAGGACUUCAAGCUAUUUCUUUUCUCGUUUUUGGUUAAUUUUUCUUUUUCCUGAUACCUGCAGAAAGGCUUCCACCAUCCGUGCUACACAUUUAUACCGAGCACAGCCAAAGAUGCUUCUUAUCUGGGGUAACUGCAUUUGUAUUAGCUCUAGUUUGGCUCUCCUGAGCAGGAGUAAGCACUCCUGUGUCCUGUCAGCACUGCAGUGCAGACCAGCACUGUGUUUGCCUUGCCAUCAGCCCCAAAACCCACCCUACGGCAUUUCUCUGCUUACUGCUAGGUGGACAACCUCAGUUAAUGCCAGCGAGGGUCUAACCACAUGGGACGCCAUGGAAAACUAGAUUGAAGCCUCUGAACAGAGCCUCUUUACAAGGCUUUUGGUAUACCUUACGGCCCAGAUCCUGCAAAAGCACGCUGCUGCUAUUCCCACCCUGUUCACUUGAACUCUCUGGUGCCAGAAUGUCAUGAGUUAAAAGUCAAAGGGUCAAAUGUUGGCCUCCCUUAAAGGUGUUUGAACUGCGGCAGACCCAGGGUUUCUCCCUUAAUUCUGUAACCAUGGCUUUCAGAGAAGAAGGAAUUGGGUUGUGCUUUUAUUUCUCGUGGCUUCACCAAGACUCCGUAUUUUAAGAUUCCACACGUUUUUAAAAAAUAUUUUCUCUGAGUGUGUUUUAUGGGAAACUAAAUUGAAGGUGUAUUUAAGGGCCCCAGAGAUCUGCUAUGAUGAUAUAUAUCAGGAGAAGCUGAACAUCUGCUUGAUGCUUGGGCACAGCUUUAGCAGAACUAACAGUUCGAAAGCAAUUCUUGUUUUUUAAUGUAACAAUCGGAUAAUUUGAAGUUUGAGCUAUGAGGUCUGAAACCUAAAAAACAAAGGCAGAAAACUUGAUAUGAAAUAUUUACCACCUAGACAGAAAUCUAUAAAAGGGGAAGGGGGGGGAAGUGAAUCAAUGGUUGCAAUCCUGUGGUGGUUUUACACAAAGGAAAAUUCAAAACUGAAUUUCUGCAAAGAAACAAAAGUAUUCACCGUACUAACAUAAAGAUGUUCGAACAGCGAUUGUGUUGUCUUUACAAAUGCCUCUUUUAUCUGUUGUACUUCCCAUGUGAAAUGAAAUGUACUUUAUAGUAAAUAGUUUUUUUUUUUUAAUUUCAAUUAACAUUUUUUGAUCAGGAAAAUAUACAAAAUUUGUGUGGAAAACUGUUUACUCUGUUUACUUGAAGGUGAUAUUUUGCUGCAAAAUUUUAAAUAUAAUAAGAUGCAUUUAAUAGCACUCUUUUGUGGUGCCAUUCCUUAUGGACAUAACAUUCAAAGUAUGGAAAAUCAGUUGUGGACCAAACUGACCAUAAAAACAGUAAUCCAAAGAAAC